AGCGAACGUUAGCGGCGGGCUUAACACGUGCAAGUCGAGCGAGAAAGGGGCUUCGGCCCUGAGUACAGCGGCGGACGGGUGAGUAAUACGUAGGUAACCUGCCCUUCAGUUGGGGACAACGGUCCGAAAGGACCGCUAAUACCGAAUUCGUUCUCUGGGGUCCCGGCCCCGGAGAGGAAAGCUGCCGCAAGGUGGCGCUGGAGGAGGGGCCUACGUCGCAUCAGCUAGUUGGUGGGGUAAUGGCCUACCAAGGCGAAGACGCGUAGCUGGUCUGAGAGGAUGAUCAGUCACACUGGGACUGAGACACGGCCCAGACUCCUACGGGAGGCAGCAGUGGGGAAUAUUGGACAAUGGGCGCAAGCCUGAUCCAGCCACGCCGCGUGAGUGAUGGAGGCCUUCGGGUCGUAAAGCUCUGUGGGGAGGGACGAAUAUCCGGCAUGACCUGUCGGGGUGACGGUACCUCCUUAGCAAGCACCGGCUAACUUCGUGCCAACAGCCGCGGUAAUACGAAGGGUGCAAACGUUGCUCGGAAUCACUGGGCGUAAAGCGCACGUAGGCGGCUUCGCAAGUCGGAUGUGAAAUCCCUUGGCUCAACCAAGGACGUGCAUCCGAAACUG
rnacentral:rRNA from 1 species